GAUGAACGCUGGCGGCGUGCCUAAUACAUGCAAGUCGAGCGAACGGACGAGAAGCUUGCUUCUCUGAUGUUAGCGGCGGACGGGUGAGUAACACGUGGAUAACCUACCUAUAAGACUGGGAUAACUUCGGGAAACCGGCGCUAAUACCGGAUGAUAUUUUGAACCGCAUGGUUCAAAAGUGAAAGACGGUCUUGCUGUCACUUAUAGAUGGAUCCGCGCUGCAUUAGCUAGUUGGUAAGGUAACGGCUUACCAAGGCAACGAUGCAUAGCCGACCUGAGAGGGUGGUCGGCCACACGGGAACUGGAACACGGUCCAGACUCCUACGGGAGGCAGCAGUAGGGAAUCUUCCGCAAUGGGCGAAAGCCUGACGGAGCAACGCCGCGUGAGUGAUGAAGGUCUUCGGAUCGUAAAACUCUGUUAUUAGGGAAGAACAUAUGUGUAAGUAACUGUGCACAUCUUGACGGUACCUAAUCAGAAAGCCACGGCUAACUACGUG
rnacentral:rRNA from 1 species